UUCAUGCAAUAAGAGGGGCUUUAGGAACCUGCCAGUCAGAGUUCAGGGUUCAGGGGACGCAACCUCUCUCUGGCAGGUUGAAAUCACGUCUUGAGUGGAGCGCAUGGGACGCAGAAAUCUCUGAGAUUCGACGCACAUCCAGCUAUCUUUGACCCAAUUGAAAGGAUGUUGUGGUAGACUACGGGAGAGGUCGAUGAACAAUCAACAUUGGUCAAGGUUUUAAACUGUAAGUGUCACGAGGUUUGUUCUCCCGGGAUGCAAACGGACUACUCCGGACAAGGCUUGCAGUGUAGCCCCCGGGCCGCACUUUGGACACCACUGAAUUAAGGCGAGGAGGAACACUGAUGAAGAAUGGAUGUCCCCAGGCUGUAUUUGUGUUAAGUGUUCCUGCACUGCACGCCACUUUGUGCCUCAAAGCAGACAAACAGACAUUUGAAUAAAAUGUCCAAUGUUUGAACGAGCCGUGCUUGUCUGGCGGACAAAUCGGAUCGCGGCAAAUAUUGAUAUUCAUGUGGCAGGCAUGUUUUUAUUUUUUAUUUUUAUUUUUUU